rnacentral:rRNA from 1 species
GAUGAACGCUGGCGGCGUGCUUAACACAUGCAAGUCGAACGGACAGAGGGAGCUUGCUCCCAAAGUUAGUGGCGGACGGGUGAGUAACGCGUGGGAAACCUGCCCUAUGCAGGGGGAUAACAAUGAGAAAUCAUUGCUAAUACCGCAUAACCUAAGAAGUUUGCAUGAACUUCUUAGCAAAGAUUUAUCGGCAUAGGAUGGACCCGCGUUAGAUUAGCUAGUUGGUGAGAUAACAGCCCACCAAGGCAACGAUCUAUAGCCGGCCUGAGAGGGUGAACGGCAACACUGGGACUGAGCCACGGCCCAGACUCCUACGGGAGGCAGCAGUGGGGAAUAUUGCACAAUGGGCGCAAGCCUGAUGCAGCGACGCAGCGUGAAGGAUGAAGGUCUUCGGAUCGUAAACUUCUAUCAGCAGGGAAGAAAUAUGACGGUACCUGACUAAGAAGCCCCGGCUAACUACGUGCCAGCCGCCGCCGUAA